rnacentral:rRNA from 1 species
AUUGAACGCUGGCGGCGCGUCUUAAGCAUGCAAGUCGAGCGGCAAGGGUAGCAAUACCCCUAGAGCGGCGGACUGGUGAGUAACACGUGGGUGAUCUACCUUUUGGUUGGGGAUAGCCAUUAGAAAUAGUGGGUAAUACCGAAUGAGGUUGUGCGGUUGAGGCUGCAUAAAGAAAGGAGCUACGGCUCCGCCAGGAGCUGAGCCCGCGGCCCAUUAGCUAGUUGGGGGUGUAACGGACCACCAAGGCGAUGAUGGGUAGCCGGCCUGAGAGGGUGAACGGCCACACUGGGACUGAGAUACGGCCCAGACUCCUACGGGAGGCAGCAGCUAAGAAUAUUCCGCAAUGGACGAAAGUCUGACGGAGCGACGCCGCGUGGAUGACGAAGGCCGAAAGGUUGUAAAGUCCUUUUGUCGAUGAAGAAUAAUUGUGGGAGGGAAUGCCCGCAAGAUGACGUUAGUCGGCGAAUAAGCCCCGGCUAAUUACGUGCCAGCCGCCGCCGUAAUAC